rnacentral:tRNA from 1 species
UCCCUGGUGGUUCAGACGGUAAAGUGUCUGUCUAUGAUGCAGGAGACCCAGGUUCGAUCCCUGGGUUGGGAA